UGCAGAGCUCAGCGGCACACAGUGAGGUGUGGUCAGUCCAGGACUGGGAUCCGAGCAGGAAAGGUUUAAAGUGAUUUUGACUCCCGAAGUUUCUCAGAAUCCCGGGCUGCAGGGGAGCUAAGUCCAACUAUGCGUUAGAUGAGCACCUGUGGCCCAGGCCGCGUGAGGCAGGGGCCCUUCCGGGAUCGCAUUAACUGGGGCUGGUGGAGAGGCAGCCAGGACGUUCCGUUAGAAGUCCUACAAUCAACCACACGCCCAGGCUCCCCUCUUCUGGUUCUGUUGCCUUCCGCCAGUCAGCACGAGGCUGCAGCCCACCCUCCUCCUAGACCAGCACAGCGUCCUGUCUUCUCUGAAAAGACUCCCGGAGAAUGGGGUUCUCUGACCAGGUGACCACAUCUGGUGUGGAUGGAGCCACGGGAUGGUGCCGCGCUCACGAACAGAGGCUCAACACACCCGGAUCGCCCUGCUCCGGCCCCCAGGCGUCCCACUGCCAGCCCUCUCUCCCCUCUGGCUGCAUGGCAGUGCACAACAGGAAGCCAUGUCAAGUGCCCAGCUUUUCCGAGGGUGGAAGAGAAGAGAAGAGACGGCCGACAGCUUCACAACGCUCCCUUUCCACACGUGCUUUUCCUCUAUUUGCUUCUUCGCCACACUUGGUUCACACGCCAUUUCAGGCUCCUUUUUUCCUGAGUCUUAAUGAAAAUGAAGCACGUGUCUCCACGUAAAAAUUCAUGAUUUAGCUCAGCGGUUCUGCUGCCUGUAUUGUGCAGGGUCCCGUGUUCGAUCCCCUAUACAAAAAAAAAACAAAACAAAUAAGUCCAUGUUUAAUAUUCAAUCUCUCCGUU
rnacentral:lncRNA from 1 species